GGGCGAUUAGUUUAAUGGUAAAACUUUCGUCUCCAAAACGAAUGUUGGGGGUUCGAUUCCCUCAUCGCCCG
rnacentral:tRNA from 1 species